rnacentral:tRNA from 2 species
UGGGGGAUCGUCUAGCGGUAGGACACCGCCCUUUGGAGGCGGGUACCUUGGUUCGAAUCCAAGUCCCCCAGCCG